rnacentral:lncRNA from 1 species
GGCCUUUUGGGAAGUGAUUAAGUCAUGAGGACUCCACCCUUAUGAAUGGAUUACUACCUGUAUAAAAGAGGCUUCAGAGAGAGUUUGCCCCUCUUGCCUUCCACCUGCUGCUAUAUGAGGACACAGCAGCAAGGUGCCAUCUUGGAAGCAGAGAACAGCCCUCGCCAGACACCAAAAUUGGUGGCUUCAGAACCGAAUGGUCACACUGUUUUCCAAAGUGACUGCACCAUUUCAUAUUUCUACCAGCAACAUCAUCAUCUUCCUUUUACAGAUGAAGAAACUCAUAUCAUGGAAAAGCAUGGAUGAAAUCCUCUGACCACCCUACAUUUAAAGGACCUUUAAAGAGAAAGAACUGACAGUGUAAGUGGAAAAAGAGCAACUGGAAGUAGCAGGAGAAGGAAAAACCAUUAUCAUACAACUGGUGGGAAGAAGGAAUGUCAAAAACAUCAGUGUGAAAAUAAUUGCAGUAAAACGUAGCUUGCUGCCGGUCCACUGAUGAUGCUCACCUGCAGGACUCAGCCCACCCAAUUUCUACCUGGAUCUUGUACUGGGGUGUGGGUGCCCCCCGCAGGAUUGCUUCCCCCAGGGGUCUGUGCUGAGGUACAAGAUCACCAGACUUACCUAGGGCAAAUGAAAGAAGUACAGCCAGGCAGGAUCUGAACUGUAUUGACCAGGGAAGUGAAAGUCAAAACUGUAGAGGUGGUUCCAAGCAUCAAGUUUGGUGAAGGAUGAGGUGAGAUGUCAACAGCAAGAUGCAUCAGCAGAGCAGAAGGAAGAAGGAAGCAGAACCCAAGGCAGCUUGAGGCAAGUUGACCAGAAGAGAGGAUAUGAAAUGGAUGGACGUGUCAGAGGUCCAUU